rnacentral:rRNA from 1 species
GAUGAACGCUAGCGGCAGGCUUAAUACAUGCAAGUCGAGGGGCAGCGCAGUGUAGCAAUACAUGGGCGGCGACCGGCGAACGGGUGCGGAACACGUACGCAACCUUCCUUUAAGUGGGGGAUAGCCCAGGGAAACUUGGAUUAAUACCCCGUAAUAUUAUGAAGUGGCAUCACUUUAUACUUAUAGCUCCGGCGCUUAAAGAUGGGCGUGCGACUGAUUAGGUAGUUGGCGGGGUAACGGCCCACCAGGCCUGCGAUCAGUAACUGGUGUGAGAGCACGACCAGUCACACGGGCACUGAGACACGGGCCCGACUCCUACGGGAGGCAGCAGUAAGGAAUAUUGGUCAAUGGACGCAAGUCUGAACCAGCCAUGCUGCGUGGAGGAUGAAGGUCCUCUGGAUUGUAAACUUCUUUUAUUUGGGAAGAAACCCACUGUUUCUACGGUGGUUGACGGUACCAGAUGAAUAAGCACCGGCUAACUCCGUGCCAGCAGCCGCAGUAAAAC